UGAUAAAUUUUCUCAAAUUUGUGAGGUUUUGAAUGCCUUGUCCAUUUGUGCCUUUUGAUAUUGUCACUCAUGUCUUUCUAAUGAUGGGCGAUGUUCACUGAUUGCUAGACUUCUCCAGGUUUUCAAAUGUAUCUAUAGAUUUGUUUUUUCCCUGAUCGUUAGAGUAUUCUAGGUAACAACUUUGCUCGAAUUUAUGAGGUUUUGAAUGCCAUGUUUAUUUUGCCCUUUGAUAUUUUCGCUUCUGUAUUUCUGAUGACGGGACUAAUGUAGGUUGUGAAUAUGGUGGAAUUUCUUGAUUAAUGUCUUGGCGUGGGGAUUCAGUUGCCUGGGUACCAGAUAUAGCGAUGAGCGAAAUUUAAGGUGUGAAUCCCAGGUAGCAGAUUCACAGGAAACUUUUGGGGCCUUGAUAUUGAUUCCCUAAUGUUUGUUGGGAUUGCUUUCAUCGGUUUUUUCUUUGUUGGAUCGGUCACUACCUUGGCGUAUUUAGGCCCCAGAGAAUUGAUUUUUCAGGUUAUAUCUGAUUUGACUCAAGGUAGGGUAUGUGUCCACUUCUUUUUCCCCUGAACUAAAAUUCAUGUUUACAUUUAGGUUUUAGUUACAAAUAAUGAUGGAUAUUUGUUGCUCGGAAUUUCUAUAAAAGAAUUAGAAACAGUGCAUGUUUUUUUAUCUAGAUCACAUACAUGCUUACAGCUUAUAUACCCAUUGUUUGCAUUGUAAAACAAGAAUAUGUAAGCCAUAUAGACUCGUGAUGAGAUUCACUCGCUAUUGUCUGUUCUUCAGAUUUCUUCAUGGCUUUUCAGUCCUAGACACAGCAACCCCUAUACUUUUCUUGAACUAAGUUUGGAAGGUAUUCUACAAAAGUAGUAAGAGGAUUAGGUUCCUUAAUACCUUCAGAUUCAUGCACCGCACUCAUAUUUCAUGUUCGAAAGUGGAAACUGCUCCUUUGGCUGGUCUUGUAACAUAUUCUGACAAAGAAAUGUUCCUACAUUGUAUGAGGUUAUAUAUGCUAGGCUGCUAGCAACCUUUAUGUUAACCCUUUCAUACUUCUGUUAUAGUAUUCAUUAGGACAACAGUCACUCAAAAUCAUUACUUCAUUUUCAUUUAUCAUUUGUUACUCUGAUCUCAUAUGGGCUACCUUUUUUGGAAAUAAUGCUGGUGAGUUUCAAACCUCAUUGGAAUCUAUUCAGAAUUCACUAGCAGAUGGGUUGCUAAAACUGACAGAACAAGUAACUUCUGACAAUCGGAGUAUUGCAUCUUUAUCUAUAUGUAUGCACAUUUGGUUGAAAUUCUAUGCAGUGUCAACAGGUACACACUUUACAAGAUUACAUUUUCAUUACAAGAUGCUUGAUUGCAGCCAAUAUUUUCAUUUCUUUGGUGCUUGUGUAGAAGUAUCGCCUUGCAAAGUAUAUACCAGACUCUCAUGCUAAAGGUUUUAAGGACGACAAGAAAGUUUGAGUGAUUCCCUCUCGAACAUGGAUUAUGUACCAUAUUCUGAAAUGUGUUUAGAGGAUUGCAAAUCAAUGAGGCACUAAAGAUGCAACUGGAAGUUCAGAAGCGGCUACACGAGCAACUGGAGGUAUUUGAAGGUGUUUGAGAUAAAUAAUGAUGCUAAAAUGAAAAGGACAAUGCGACGUCCCCUACCAUCUGGUCGUGUUAGUUCUACACAUGCUGCCAUGUGGGCUACAAGUGCAGGAAUUGCAGGAACAACUUUGCUGGCCUCUCGAAGGUUAGCGCUAUGUCGUGGUGCUCCACUUUAAAGAUGUGCAUGCCACGUCUACACUUCCCGUCUCUGAUUAUAGAUUAGGUCUUUACUCCCUGAUGUUUAGCCAGUGCGUGCUGUUACCCACUAGGUCUAGCCGUAGUCAGUGACUGCACAACCACAACCCGCUCUUGUGUAUUUUGCGUUUGCGGAUCGCAUCGCAUGUUAUUUUGGUCCUUCUAUAUUCAUGCUACAAGGCUGCAAACUGUGGUGCUCAUACAUUUAUGUAACCAGUAACCUAUAACGACUUUGAUGUAUAUUAUAUUUUGUAACAGUGAACUUGACUAUCGUAGAUAUGUAGCUUGCUGGAACGAUUUUUUA